rnacentral:rRNA from 1 species
UACGUAGGGUCCGAGCGUUGUCCGGAAUUAUUGGGCGUAAAGAGCUCGUAGGCGGUUUGUUGCGUCGGCUGUGAAAUCCCGAGGCUCAACCUCGGGUCUGCAGUCGAUACGAGCAAACUAGAGUGUUGCAGGGGAGACUGGAAUUCCUGGUGUAGCGGUGAAAUGCGCAGAUAUCAGGAGGAACACCGGUGGCGAAGGCGGCUGCCUGGGCCUGGCCUGACGCUGAGGCGCGAAAGCGUGGGGAGCAAUCCGG